rnacentral:rRNA from 1 species
UACGUAGGGGGCAAGCGUUGUCCGGAUUUAUUGGGCGUAAAGAGCGUGUAGGCGGCUAGGUAGGUCCGUUGUGAAAACUCGAGGCUCAACCUCGAGACGUCGAUGGAAACCAUCUAGCUAGAGUCCGGAAGAGGAGAGUGGAAUUCCUGGUGUAGCGGUGAAAUGCGCAGAUAUCAGGAGGAACACCGGUGGCGAAGGCGGGUCUCUGGGCAACAACUGACGCUGAGGAGCGAAAGCGUGGGGAGCGAACAGG